ACUUUCUGCUGAUGGGGAUCCAGUGAGUCCCAGGCGCUACACUCUCUUUAUUAUCUCCAUUGUGUUGAAUUGUCUUUUUUACACUUCCUUUUUCUUAAGAGGGGAAAAAGGAAUUUGUAGUUUGUUAGAGCCGAAGUCACUGGCCACAGCAUGUCUGCAGAGAAGAAGCCAAAGAAAAAGAAAGGUUCAGAUACAGAAGAUGAUGAUGACGAUGAGGAAGAGACUCCACAAAAGAAGACAAAGAAAAAACCUCCAAAGGAAAGUUCUGAAAAAGAUGGCAAGGAGAAGAAAUCCAAAGCUAAAGAUGACAAAGACUCUGAUAAAAAAUUGAAGAAAGAACAGAAGAAAAAGGAACCAGCAUCUCUGUUCUCUGUCAAUGGAGAGAAGUCAGACUCCAAAAGCAAGAAGAAAGCAGCAAAGUCUGAUACAGAUGACAGCGAAACCGAAACUAAGUCGGGCAAGUCGAAAUCAAAGAAGAAGGAGAUCGCCAACCCAGCAUCCCUAUUUUCAGUGGGAGGUGAUAAGGACAAGGAUAAGGGAAAAGACAAGGACAAAGACAAAGACAAGAAGAAGAAGAAAGCCAAAGCAUCAGAGAGUGAUGAAUCUGACUCUGAGGCAGAAAAAGGGACAAAAAAGAAAAAGGGAAAAGGGAAGAAGAAGAAGGAAGAGAGGCCUCCAUCCCCAGACAUUGAGUUUGACAGCCUUGAGGAGUUUGUCCUGCAGCCAGCCCCACAGGGGGCGACUGUCAAAUGCAAGAUGACGCGGGACAAGAGGGGAAUGGACAAAGGCCUGUACCCUACAUAUUAUCUCCAUCUCGACAAUGAGAAAAAGGUGUUUUUACUGGCUGGGAGAAAACGAAAGAAAAGCACAACAUCCAAUUAUCUCAUCUCCAUAGACCCCACAGACUUAUCUAGGGGUGGAGAAAAUUUCAUUGGAAAGUUGAGGUCCAACAUGAUGGGCACCAAGUUCACAGUGUUUGACAAUGCUUUGCAUCCAGACCGAGCCCUGCCAGACAUGUCCAAUGCUCGCCAAGAACUAGCAGCCAUUAUAUACGAAACAAAUGUAUUGGGAAUGAAGGGUCCCCGACGGUUGACCGUCAUCAUCCCAGGGAUGAACAAGGACAGUGAACGAGUGCCCAUCCGACCUCGCAGUGACAACGAUGGUUUACUAAUGAAGUUCCAGAACAGAAAGUUGGAUAAUCUGAUCGAACUCCACAACAAAACACCCACUUGGAAUGAGGACACGGCGUCCCAUGUGCUGAAUUUCAAUGGCAGGGUCACACAGGCCUCCAUCAAAAACUUUCAGAUCAUCCACAGCAAAGAUGAGGACUAUAUUGUGAUGCAGUUUGGAAGAGUAGCGGACGACGCAUUCACUCUGGACUACAGCUACCCAAUGUGUGCAGUGCAAGCCUUUGCUAUCGCUCUAUCCAGUUUUGAUGGCAAAAUAACCUGCGAAUAAAACAAAACAAUAGGCCCUGGUGCCUCCUAGAGCUGCUGCAACUCUUCGUUGGCUACUGCAGAUGCACAGUACAGGAAAGAAGAAUUUCCCUGAUGGUUUUUCUACAACUCAAUAUCAACGCAAAGUGCAUUGAAGGAUGGAAGUCCUAGGCAAAAUGGAGGACUGAGGGCAUUUGAUAUCCCAUGGACUAUCUCAGGGAUUGUGUCUGAUGACUGAUGAUUAUGAGCAAUUCUGGGAUUAAGAUUAUUUUUUCUAUUGGAGCUCCUUGAGCUAAACCCCAGACAUAAAGAGAGGAUGAUACUUUAUAGCUGAGCACUGGAAAUAUGGUGUGUUUUGGAAUUUGCAUUAUUGCUUGAGGAUGCAGACGGAUGAAAUCUGAAGUUAUAGUUCAUCUUUUAAAUAAAUCAAUGAUUUUGUAGUACA
rnacentral:lncRNA from 1 species